CAAUAGCGUAUAUUAAAGUUGUUGCAGUUAAAAAGCUCGUAGUUGGAUUUCUGGUAGGAGCGACCGUGCCGAACUUGAUUGUUCGAGUAUUGUGUUGUCUUCAGCCAUCCUCGUGGAGAACUUUUCUAACAUUAACUUGUUGGGAUUGGGACCCGCGUCGUUUACUGUGAAAAAAUUAGAGUGUUUAAAGCAGGCAUUAGCUUGAAUACAUUAGCAUGGAAUAAUAGGAUAGGACUUUGGUACUAUUUUGUUGGUUUGCAUACCAAAUUAAUGAUCAACAGGAACAGUUUGAGGAUAUUCGUAUGAACAUGUCAGAGGUGAAAUUCUUGGAUUUUGAUCAGACGAACUACUGCGAAAGCAUUUAUCAAGGAUGUUUUCAUUAA
rnacentral:rRNA from 1 species